GUUGCAACAGUUGCGAUAAACAACGCCACCAACGCAGCUUUGCUCGCUGUCCGGAUGUUGGGAAUUUCCGAUUCUGACCUUAUCUCCAGGAUGAGUCAGUACCAAGAAGACAUGAGAUCAGAGAACAUGGUUAAAGGCGAGAGGCUUGAAACUGAAGGCUGGGAAUCAUACUUGAACCAUUGAAUUUUCCGGUUCGUUUUCUCGCCGGAAAAUGUUCAUUCUCUCUUACAAGUCAGAAAUCGGGUUUUUCCCUGUUAAGAAGACUCGGAACGAUCCUUGAAUUCGUUUUUGCAGCCAGGAAAGUUCUCAAAGAGUGACCAACAUAAACCAAUGAUUGUACCAAUAGUUCUUGUACCAAUGAUUGUACCAAUAGUUCUUUUUUUCCGGUUAAGUUCCCUGGAUUGUCUUCCGGUUUAACUUUCGAAUUUCAAAUGGAUAUUUGAUUAAUUGAGAAUAAAUAUGUAUUGUUUACUUA